rnacentral:rRNA from 1 species
UACGAAGGGAGCUAGCGUUGUUCGGAAUCACUGGGCGUAAAGCGCACGUAGGCGGAUGUGUCAGUCAGGGGUGAAAUCCCGGAGCUCAACUUCAGAACUGCCUUUGAUACAGCACGUCUUGAGUCCGAUAGAGGUGGGUGGAAUUCCUAGUGUAGAGGUGAAAUUCGUAGAUAUUAGGAAGAACACCGGUGGCGAAGGCGGCCCACUGGAUCGGUACUGACGCUGAGGUGCGAAAGCGUGGGGAGCAAACAGG